rnacentral:SRP_RNA from 1 species
GCUGGGCAUUGUGGUGCAUGCCUGUAAUCCCAGCUACUUGGGAGGCUGAGACAGGAGAAUCACUUGAACCUGGGAGGCGGAGGCUGCAGUGAGCUGAGAUGGUGCCACUGCACUCCAGCCUGGGCAACAAAGUGAGACUCAGUCUCAA